CAGCAGCCGCGGGAAUAUGUAGGUGGCAAGCGUUGUCCGGAAUUAUUGGGCGUAAAGGGCUCGCAGGCGGUUUCUUAAGUCUGAUGUGAAAGCCCCCGGCUCAACCGGGGAGGGUCAUUGGAAACUGGGAAACUUGAGUGCAGAAGAGGAGAGUGGAAUUCCACGUGUAGCGGUGAAAUGCGUAGAGAUGUGGAGGAACACCAGUGGCGAAGGCGACUCUCUGGUCUGUAACUGACGCUGAGGAGCGAAAGCGUGGGGAGCGAACAGGAUUAGAUACCCCAGUAGUCCCUGUCUCUUAUAA
rnacentral:rRNA from 1 species